AUGCUUUUAUUCUGAACGCCCCUGCUCUUAUUGUGAAGGCUGGGGCCGGAAGCCCACCGGUGCCGGUGUUGAACUUGACUCGGUCCUCCAGCAGCGGGUAGCCAGAGUGAGGCUGAGUGUGUGAGAGUGUGUGUGGAGGACCGGCGGACGGAGCGGAGGGACGGGGCCGCUGCUCGCCGACAGACAGCCGCCGAGCGCCGGGGAGCUCUGCAGGAGAGAGCCGGGGGCAGAGCCGGAGCUUCUGGAGGAAUAACACCUGGAGUCACACCGGAUUCUGCUCUGAUCAGGAGCCAUUUAUCGGCGGGAGGAGAGCUCAAAGUCUAUUUUUUUUUAAACUUUUGGGAUUAAAAAGUGGAUUUAUCUUCCCUCACGCACGCAGAGGAGGUGCGCUUCAUUUGGGCACCGUGUGGCUGCGGGACUCGGUGUUGGGGCACUUGUGGAGGACCAUGGUGGGGGAGAUGGAGGGGAAGGAGAAGCCCAGGCCCAGUCCGGAUUAUCUGAUGCAGCUCAUGAACGACAAGAAGCUGAUGAGCAGUCUGCCCAACUUCUGCGGCAUCUUCCAGCAUCUGGAGAGGCUGCUGGACGAGGAGAUCAGGCGUGUCAGAAAGGACAUGUACAACGACACUCUGAACGGUUCAGAGAGGAGCAGCGAGCUGCCGGACGCCGUCGGUCCCAUCGUCCAACUGCAGGAGAAACUCUACGUCCCUGUGAAGGAAUAUCCUGAUUUUAACUUUGUCGGGAGGAUUCUGGGUCCUCGCGGUCUGACGGCGAAGCAGCUGGAGGCGGAGACAGGAUGUAAGAUCAUGGUGCGAGGGAAAGGAUCCAUGAGAGACAAGAAGAAGGAGGAGCAGAACCGAGGGAAGCCGAACUGGGAGCACCUGAACGAGGAUCUCCAUGUCCUCAUCACGGUGGAAGACGCUCAGAACCGAGCGGAGAUCAAACUCAAACGAGCCGUGGAGGAAGUCAACAAGCUGCUGGUGCCCGCGGCGGAGGGCGAGGACAGUCUGAAGAAGAUGCAGCUGAUGGAGUUAGCGAUCCUGAACGGGACGUACAGAGACGCCAACAUCAAACCAUCCUCCCUUGCCUUCUCUCUUGCAGCUUCCUCUCAGACUCCUCGUGUCCUCUCUGGCCCCGGCCCGGUCCUUGCCCCGCCCACCACCCUGCGUACACCCGCCCCUGCAGGCCCCGCCCUCAUGCCGCUGAUUCGUCAGAUCCAGACGGUCCUGCCCAAUGGGACGCCUCACCCGGGCGUGUCGGCUCUGAUGCCGCCGGGCGCUGAGUCAGGUCUGAUCUACGCCACACCGUACGACUACCCGUAUGCUCUGGCGGCCCCGGCCUCCAUCUUGGAGUACCCCCUGGACUCUGGGGGGGUGUUAGGUGACUCCAUGUCUUCCAUGACGGUUUGUGGUGUCUGCCGUCUGGUGCAGGUGCGGUGGCCGCUAAAGUUCGGAGACGAGAGCUGCGUGUCCAUCCUUACCAAAGGAUGGUGACCGCGGGCCAAGGUUAGUCCGCUCAGCUCCGCCCCCUUUGUCUGCGCACCUGCCUUUCCCAGAAUGCACUGCCACACCAGUCAGCUGGCAUCCAGGGUGUUGUUAACUUAAUGCUACAACAAUAUAUGAACCUGAUGUAUUCCCCAUAAAUGUGGCCGUUAUGGCUCUAUGUGUCAUGCUAACUUUGCUCUCUCCAGCUCCGUUGUUGAGAUUCCAGCGAUUCAUAAAAAUUAUGUUUAUCACACAUGCGUUAAAUGUAAUUACAACACGUGACUGUGUGAGGAAUUACAGUUUGUAAGUCUGUGUCGUCCUGCUCAUUGUGUUUUAUCCUCCCAACUUGGAAAUUUGCAGACAGGAACCAUUUUAUGUAUCUGCUAAGUUCUACUACUUCUCUAGCAGGAACAGAUGCUGAGCUAUCCACAGCCUCAGACGUAAACAAACCUACAUGUGCAGAUGAAUAUGUGGGUGGUUCGGUUAGCCAGCAAGCUUCCGCGGAUGUAGUUCCCUAUGCGGUUAGCCAUAAUGGAUGCUACAGACAAUGGCCACGUUUAUGGGAAAUACAUCGGGUUAAAAUAAACUGGAAUCUUUCUUUAAUCAGACAGACUUUAUUUUUCAGGAACUACUUGAUAAACCCUGAUAGUCCUAAUUAAAAACAUCUUAAAUGAUUGAUCUGAAUGUGACGCCUGAUCCUCUAGAGAGAAGACGUCUCACUCUGUUGGAGUUGUUGGAACUACAUAAACACUCUGAUUGUGCAGUGGUGUCACAGAGUGGAGCUUCUUCCCUCGUAGAUGAUCUUUGGUCGAGUACAGACACACAAACUCACAGACAGGUUUCAUCUUGUCAUCAAGUUACUCACAGAAGUUAAUUAGUGACAGGAACAGCUGAUAUACUGUGAUAUAAUCUGAUAUAAUCUGCCCCUGACUGAUAUCAGCUCUCUAAAUAUCAAAGUACAGAACAGAGAAAAACGAAAACCUGAACAGAAAUAAUUUGAAAUGGUGAGAACGCCCAACAGCAAACAGAACAGGUGUGUUCUGGGAAACGCAGGCCAGAUGUGUGAUAGUGAUACCUGCCCUGUUCACCAGCCGCCGCCCACUAACCCUCUGACCUGUGACCUCCUGUCCCUGUGAUGACCCUGCUGCCUGCUGGUCGCUCUGCUUCUGCUGUGGUUUCUGCAAUAAAAUGCACACACACACACACACACACACACACACAGACACACACACACACACACACACACACACACACACACACACACACAUUACAGACCUGCACUGAAUCACUCUGAAGCAAUACUGAAGGUCUGAACCGUCCACCAAUCACAGAGCUCGACCCAGGAGGGCAAACGUCUGUCUGUCCAUCAUUUCGGUCCAGACUGAAAUAUCUCAACAACUGUUGGAUGGAUUGCUGUGAAGUUGGGUCCAGACUGGUUAGACUGGUAACAGACUGGUGAGACUGGGUCCAGACUGGUAACAGCUGACUGAAAUUAUCCCAACAACUGUCGGAUGGAUUGUUGUGAAUUUUGGUUCACAUGUUCACGCUCCGCUCAGGAUGAAUUAUAAUAACUCUGAUCCUCUGACUUUUCAUCUAUCGUCAUCAUCUGGUCAACAUUUAAUUUUGUCCAAUACAGGUUCAAUUUUUACCCAGUUUGGAUCAAUAUAGCAGCUGUGAUAAUGUUAUUAGAGCCAGUUUUAGUGGUAUUUUUUAAUUGACUGUUGGGUUAUUUACCCAAACUAAAGCUUGUUACAAUCUACUCUUUUUAAACUUACAUAUCAUGGUUUGUUACUGAUUGUUAAUAAUUUGUGUAUCUUUUGAAUGUCACAUCGUUUUGUACAAGAAACAAAACAUUUGAGACAGUUUUAGCUAAAGCUUGUUAUGUGUGAACACUGGGUCAAAAUAACAGAUUUCUAAAGUUAACCCGAUGUUGUGUUGUUGCCAUAGUGAUCCAAACUGGGUCAAAUUUGAACCAGUGAUUUUUUUUUUUAGAGUGUCCCCGCAAAACUAAUAACAUUACCAUCAGCCGCAGCUGUACUUUGUAUUAAGCGCUACGUAGCAAAUGUUAGCAUGCUAGCACACUGAAUGAAUGGUGAAAAACAUUAUGGGUGUGACCGCCCGAUCUGCGUAGCACAUGUGUAAGGAGGUCCGACAUCUUGGACAGCUACGUAAGGCAACACCACACCACUCUGAUGUGGUUUGUUCAAGUGGUGUUGCUGUACGUAGCUGUCCAAGAUGGCUGCCCCUGCUCGCCCAUGCGCAACGCAAAUCAGGUAGUGACAAUGGGCUGUGUUUGCAUAGAGGCGCAACAACCAGCUCAAGCAGUGCCCCAACUGUUUUGGUGUUUUCCUGACCUUGAAACUCACUUUGCGCGUCUGUGUGGUGUUUUAGUGACGCUGCACAGGCGGGAGGUACGGUGGCCCUGAGAGCUCAACACACUGCAACUGAGGUUAACAUUCAAAUAGAUGAAACAUGAUCAAAUUAAGAAAACAUAUUCAUCAAUUUGACAACACACGCAGUAUUUAGAAAAUGCGCCGCAAAUGAAGACAACACAUAUCUGUUUGCAUGUGUUUUCUUAACUUGCGUGCGUUGAGCUCUCAGCGUCGACGCAGGGAGGUUUGUUCAAAUGAUGCAGCACAAAGACAGUUGUUGUAUUUUGGGUGAAAUUUGGUUCUGGAUGUUGUGCUGGAAACAGACGUCUCAGAACCAGGUCUGUUUCUGAUGCAUCAUCAAUCUGCUGCUGCUUUGGUGUUUUUAUCAACAGGAUCAAACUAAAUACUUGCUGCGAAUAUGCUGCAAUAAUAGAUUAAUGCUUGAAAUAUGACUAAAACACUGUCCAGCCAAAAGUAAGGUUUAAUGUGAUUAAAGCAGGGAAGUCAGCAUUAGACUAUAAAUGAAUGUGGGUGAUUCUUACAGCAUCUGUCGUCACAGCUGCUUUAUACUGUAUGAAAAGCUUCUUAAUUAGUUCAUUAAAUUCCUGCCGCAUCUGAGGUAGCCUAUAAUGUAAACAAUUGUAAUCAAUAGGGAAUGACAUUGCCAGUCAUUUUUUAUGAUGUGAGUGCUGAUGAAGAAAUGAAAUCUAUAUUUUUCUAUGACGUUGACUGUUCAUGUAUUUGAAUUGACUUUUAUAAACAUAUAAAUACAAUUUUCUUGCAUUUGUCAUCACUUUGAGGUUGCCAGGCAACCCGCAGAGACUCCAGGAAGUCACUGCUGACAGCAGAACGUUAUGUUACGCCACUUUGUUUCAUGUCUCAUCUGAGCUACAAGAACAAUACAACAACAGUAUAAUUUGAUUAUCACAGUUUAUCAUGACUCUGUCUGCUAGAAACGACCUUCAUAUGCUGCUGAUCUGCAACAGCAAAUACAUUUAAGAGGAAAAUCUAAUGCCUCCUGGAUCACAUUCUGACCCCUGACCUCUGUGAUUUACAAGAACCCAACACUUCCUGAACUGGAGAACGAUACUGAAUAAAAUACUUUCCUCCUAAAUGUAUUUGACUAAACCAUUUAUUCAGAUAAAAUGUCAUUUUUAGGAGAAUGAGUUUGGUUUAGUGCUACGUGUGUUUGAAAUGUUUCAAUAUGAUUUUUAUUUUAUUUCUUAUUUUUCUAGAUGUGUUUGAAGAGCAUAAACCUGU